UCACCUCUGCAGGCUGGCCCCUGGCUGGACUGGGCGAGUAUCUCUUUGAAAGGCCCACCCUCAAGCAUGACUAGGAAC
rnacentral:pre_miRNA from 1 species